rnacentral:lncRNA from 1 species
CUCGGGCAGCGCUGGGGCCACCGCCGCAGCUGCCGCUAGAGCGACGCUUUCCUUUUUAAUUUUUUUCCAUGUGUUCACUUCCGGGUCCAGCGCCGAUCCGGAUGCUCGAGGCCGAAGGAUGUUUGACCUCCGGAUAACUGAGGCGCCGCUGUGCAUUCAUUCCUGGCUGCAUCGGUGGCGACAGCAGCGGCCCCGGCGGCGACUCUCUGGCCAGCGGCGGCGGUAGAAGGCCCCGGAAGCAGAGUGGAGACUGAGUUCGGGCUGGCGCGCUUCUCUCCCGUCUCGCCUUCUCGGCCUGUUCGCUCCCUCGCGCGACUGCUCCCCUCCUCGGCCGCCGCGGGCGGGAUGCGCCGCUGCCCCGCCGCUGACUGACUGACUGACGGACGGGCGGGACGGACCCGCCGGGCCGCGCCUCUGAGGACCUGUUGAGCUGGACAUAAGGAUGCUGUACCAGGAGGUCCUUGUGGAAGAGGAAGCUGUGAAAGUAGGUGGAGAUCAGGCCUUGGAAGUCCAGAAUGCCUUGGCUUGAAAAAUGGGUCAGUUUGAGGUGCGAAGGUCCAAACGUGUAUGUUCUUUGCUGACGUUAGGUAAUCAAACAGGAAUAGCAAGUUUAAGGAAACAAAUUUUAUCAAAAAUAGUCAACUUGCCGUCUUUUAUGUUACUGAAAAGUAGAAAAGUAUAUGAACUAAAACAGUUUAAAUAUGGCUUUGUUAUAUUUUUGUACUUGCUUUUGAAUGUGGGUGUGCCGGGUAAUCUGGUAAUUGGUUUUACAUGAAAUGAAUCCAGACUGUAAAAAUGUGACUCAGGAACAAAUGGGACGCUCUCCAAUAAUUUCUUUGUGUUCCCUCUGAUCCAUCCUGCAAUCUCCUCUGUACUGGGAAUACACCAUUAUUAUGGUGUAGUUUUUGCUUCAUAUUUUUCCCCCCCAGAAUGGGAUAAGUGGUAGUUUCCUUUCAAAGGGCUUCCCCUAACAAUGUAUUAAACUAAGUAAAAAGAAUACUGAAAUGUAAAAUAAAACAAAUGAAAGGUCAUGGGAUAGUUCUAUUACUGUUAAUACAUUUGAGGGUGAGAUUUGUUGUGAUAAAGUGAAAUGUAAAGACUUUCUAAUAAAGAGCAUUCACUGUAACAGUGGAAUGAUAACAUGAG